CAACUCUAUGCGGUGGAUCACUCGGCUCGUGCGUCGAUGAAGAGCGCAGCCAGCUGCGUGAAUUAAUGUGAAUUGCAGGACACACUGAACAUCGACACCUUGAACGCACAUUGCGGCUCCGGCUCACUGCCGGAGCCUCGCCUGUCCGAGGGUCGGC
rnacentral:rRNA from 1 species